GGGGGUGCCAAGGUUUCGACGGAGGUUGGAAGCUAAGGUGGCAUGUCGAGGAUGUCAGUGGGCCUCGUAAAAAAACUGACAACAAUACAAACGCCGAUACUGACGUUCGUUACGCACUAGCAGCUUAAUUGCUGCUGCGUCUUGGGAUUCAUCUCCCGCGUGAACUUGAGACGUCAAUUUAGUGGGAUAGCUUCUGUGAGCGCCUGUGGCUCAGAAGCGAAAUCAAAGCAGGAUCGUCUGUCAAAUAUCCUGACUGCGGGAGCCUUGACGGGUUAAAUCCAAAACACAGUCUAAACAUGUAGAAGCCUUAAGUGAAAGACGUUCGGACGCGGGUUCGAUUCCCGCCACCUCCACCA
rnacentral:tmRNA from 1 species